rnacentral:misc_RNA from 1 species
UCCCCGUUCUCCGGUCCAUGUCAAGCCUUGGUAAGGUUCUUCGCGUUGCAUCGAAUUAAUCCGCAUGCUCCGCCGCUUGUGCGGGCCCCCGUCAAUUCCUUUGAGUUUCAACCUUGCGGCCGUACUCCCCAGGCGGGACGCUUAAUGCGUUAGCUGCGCCACUGAUAAGCAUGCUUACCAACGGCUAGCAUCCAUCGUUUACGGCGUGGACUAC